AGUGAACGCUGGCGGUAGGCCUAACACAUGCAAGUCGAACGGCAGCACAGUAAGAGCUUGCUCUUACGGGUGGCGAGUGGCGGACGGGUGAGGAAUACAUCGGAAUCUACUUUUUCGUGGGGGAUAACGUAGGGAAACUUACGCUAAUACCGCAUACGCCCUACGGGUGAAAGCAGGGGAUCUUCGGACCUUGCGCGAUUGAAUGAGCCGAUGUCGGGUUAGCUAGUUGGCGGGGUAAAGGCCCACCAAGGCGAGGAUCCGUAGCUGGUCUGAGGGGAUGAUCAGCCACACUGGAACUGAGACACGGUCCAGACUCCUACGGGAGGCAGCAGUGGGGAAUAUUGGACAAUGGGCGCAAGCCUGAUCCAGCCAUACCGCGUGGGUGAAGAAGGCCUUCGGGUUGUAAAGCCCUUUUGUUGGGAAAGAAAAGCAGCAGGUUAAUACCCCGCUGUUCUGACGGUACCCAAAGAAUAAGCACCGGCUAACUUCGUG
rnacentral:rRNA from 1 species